AACGAACGCUGGCGGCAGGCCUAACACAUGCAAGUCGAACGAACCUUCGGGUUAGUGGCGCACGGGUGCGUAACGCGUGGGAAUGUACAUCUCGGUAAGGAAUAACUGCUGGAAACGGUAGCUAAUACCUUAUAAUGACUCCGGUCCAAAGAUUUAUCGCCGAGGAAUCAGCCCGCGUCUGAUUAGAUUGUUGGUGAGGUAAUGGCUCACCAAGUCUACGAUCAGUAGCUGGUCUGAGAGGAUGAUCAGCCACACUGGAACUGAGACACGGUCCAG
rnacentral:rRNA from 1 species